rnacentral:rRNA from 1 species
UUGACCUCGGAUCAGGUAGGAAUACCCGCUGAACUUAAGCAUAUCAUAGAGAGNAAAAA